rnacentral:rRNA from 1 species
UGCGUAGGCGGUCUCUUAAGUCAGAUGUGAAAGCCCGGGGCUUAACCUCGGAAGUGCAUUUGAAACUAAGGGACUUGAGUAUGGGAGAGGGAAGUGGAAUUCCUGGUGUAGCGGUGAAAUGCGUAGAUAUCAGGAGGAACACCGGUGGCGAAGGCGACUUCCUGGACCAAUACUGACGCUGAGGCGCGAAGGCGUGGGGAGCAAACAGGAUUAGAUACCCUGGUAGUC